AACGGCUCCGAUCGCCCCACGCACACUCACGCAGACGCCGGCGAUGCCCCAGUGGCCCCACCCUGCGCAGAUCGUUGCCGCGCCGCCCUCCGCCGUCAUCGCCUCCCUCACGCACCGCACCUUCGUCGUCGUCGCAUCGCUCCCGCGCCGCCCCUCUGUGAUUCCUCCCCUCCGCGCGGCCCUCUCCCGCUCUCCGCGUCACCCCUCUCCGCUCGAGCCCAUCCCGCCGCCAGUUCAUCGUCGCACGCCGCAUCACUCGGAUCAAUGUCGCCGUCGCACGCCUUCAUCUGCACAUCGCCCAGAUCGGCACUCGCCCUCACCGCAUACGCUCGUCCUCGGACAGAUGGGCACCACCGCCGUCGCCGUCGCGCUCAUUCCUCCCCGUCCAACCCGCGGGCCUCGCCACAGCCAACCCUGCCCACGAGGUAAAACAGCAAUGCUUACCCUUGGUACUUUCUUUGAUCAGUUUUGCAUUCCAUCAAUAUUCCUGUAUCAUAUAGUCUUUAUUGUACCUAGAAUCAGCAAUGCUUACCCUUGCCACUUUCUUUGUCCAAUGUAAUCUCCUUUGGCAAGUUUUUGAUGUAAGGUAUUGUCCUGCAUUUUGUUUCAUUUUUUCAGUUCUCUGACAGGCUAUGUUGGGUUUGGUUUUGAAACUCUAUACAGUCACUCGCUUUAACUAAAUAGAGAAAUUACUGAUGCCUAAAUCAAUUGAGAGUUUCUGGAGUUGUUAAGGAGUACAUCCAGGAGAAGAAAUUGGAGAUCAGUGAUUCUUAAUUAUGCAAUUCAAUUCCAUUGAUUAAUGAAAAGACUAAAGUGAAACACUCCAUCUAAGCACAGGUUGAUGGGUGCAAAUGCACUUAACUGUUAGUAAUUGUAGGACAUUAUCUCAUUCCUUUUUUGAGACAUUGCACAAAUCUGAAAAACUGUAACUAUGGGCCUGUUUGGUACAGCUCAAACUCCUAAAUAUAACUCCAGGAGCUGAGUCUGGAGUGGAGUUGUGGAGCUGCCUAAACCUAGCUCCACAACUCUAGUACAUUUUGUGAGAGAGCUCCACCUAACUCCACUCCUAGUUCUGGUGGAGCUGAAACUGUUUGGCUGAGCUCCAGCUCCAGGAGGGGUGGAGCUGGAGCUGGAGCUGUGCCAAACAGGCCCUAUAUCUUGGUGUUAAACUUGUUAAUAUCAUCUGGGACUUUGAAAUGUGUGGGAUAUGCUAGAGCAUCAUACUUUGUUUCUAAGGGAACAAUAAUGAGUGAACUGAAACAAUGAGUGAAGGAUGCCUCAAGCAUUCAAAGUCCCAGACGGUGCAAAGAAAGUGCUGGUAUACUCUCUAAUCUUCUCUUGUAAAUUUCACUCUUGCUUUCUCUGUGCACUGAGCAUCCCUCUUGAAUUUCAUUUUUUUCUGAGGUUCCCAAUAAUUUUGUUGAUUUGCCUGUUUCAUUAUCAGAUUGAAAACUAACAAACCGAUACUAGAUUGUGAUGAUUGUUGGACGGUAGACUGUUAUGAGCACUACAAACUGAUAUGAUUGUUGCAACUGCCGUUGAGAGGGGCUGAUUCAAGAGAUAAUUUGAGCUCUGAUGAAACAGCUUGGAAGCUGGAAUAUGCACAUGAAUAUUGGAUCAUGUUAACCAGGAGAUCCUGCCACUAAACAAUGGUUAGAGGUUGCUGGUGAACUUGCAUGCCAUUCUUCAGUGAUGCGGUUGAAGUUACUUGGAAUAUGAGCAAUUGGUUAGCGGUUAAGAACUACUUAUUCAUAGUCAGAAGAUAAUGUCCUACAUAAGAUGAUCAGAAGAUGUGCCUUUUUUGAAGUCACAGUUAGUCGUACACUCUUAUUGGCUUAAGAGGGAAUGGCAAUGGACAGAAAUUUCAGGAAGGAGUCCAGCUAGAGUAUAGGAAAGAUGUGGAGGAAGCAACAAAACAAAUUGUCUAGCUGAAAGAAUCAACAUUAAGUAUGCCUGUGUAGAUUACAAGCCUGUGGUCCUUAUUGACCAUUGCAUACAGUUGAAUUAACGGACUGCAUUAUAUGCUGCGUCUGGUAACUAUAUUGAUGACAGACAAUUAUUGCGAUUAUAUCGACAUAUAUAAUUCUGUCUUUAUCUGUCA